CCUACGGGGGGCUGCAGUGAGGAAUAUUGGUCAAUGGACGAGAGUCUGAACCAGCCAAGUAGCGUGAAGGAUGACUGCCCUAUGGGUUGUAAACUUCUUUUAUAUGGGAAUAAAAUGUUCCACGUGUGGGAUUUUGUAUGUACCAUAUGAAUAAGGAUCGGCUAACUCCGUGCCAGCAGCCGCGGUAAUACGGAGGAUCCGAGCGUUAUCCGGAUUUAUUGGGUUUAAAGGGAGCGUAGGUGGAUUGUUAAGUCAGUUGUGAAAGUUUGCGGCUCAACCGUAAAAUUGCAGUUGAAACUGGCAGUCUUGAGUACAGUAGAGGGGGGCGGAAUUCGUGGUGUAGCGGUGAAAUGCUUAGAUAUCACGAAGAACUCCGAUUGCGAAGGCAGUUCACUGGACUGCAACUGACACUGAGGCUCGAAAGUGUGGGUAUCAAACAGGAUUAGAUACCCUUGUAGUC
rnacentral:rRNA from 1 species